UACGGAGGAUGCGAGCGUUAUCCGGAUUUAUUGGGUUUAAAGGGAGCGUAGACGGCGGGGCAAGUCUGGAGUGAAAGGCCGGGGCCCAACCCCGGGACCGCUCUGGAAACUGCCCGGCUGGAGUGCGGGAGAGGUAAGCGGAAUUCCUAGUGUAGCGGUGAAAUGCGUAGAUAUUAGGAGGAACACCAGCGGCGAAGGCGGCUUACUGGACUGUAACUGACGUUGAGGCUCGAAAGCGUGGGGAGCAAACAGG
rnacentral:rRNA from 1 species